GAUGAAGAACGCAGUGAAAUGCGAUAAGUAAUGUGAAUUGCAGAAUUCAGUGAAUCAUCGAAUCUUUGAACGCACAUUGCGCCCCUUGGUAUUCCGGGGGGCAUGCCUGUUCGAGCGUCAUUUCAACCCUCAAGCUCUGCUUGGUAUUGGGCUCCGUCCUCCUCGGACGCGCCUCAAAGACCUCGGCGGUGGCGUCUUGCCUCAAGCGUAGUAGAAACACCUCGCUUUGGAGUGCAUGGCGUCGCCCGCCGGACGAAACCUUUUGUAUUUUCUCAAGGUUGACCUCGGAUCAGGUAGGGAUACCCGCUGAACUUAAGCAUAUCAAUAAGCGGAGGA
rnacentral:misc_RNA from 1 species